rnacentral:lncRNA from 1 species
CCAUAAGAAAUGCAAUUCGAGAAUGAAUUUAGAUCUCAUUCCCGAAUGAGAUGAGUUAUUAACAUUCUUAUGCAAAUACGUAAGAAUAAUAAUAAUUCAUAACUCAUUCUCGAAUUGCACCCUCAAAAAUCAAAUUAUCCCUGAUGGAGCGUGCGCCCUACCUUGGAAACCACUUAUCUAGCGGAUUAUAUAUGCCACUAUUCCUUCUUCGAAUUUAAGGGCAAAUUCUACCGUCAGCAAAAAAGGCGUCCCCAUUGUCAAGAUGGCGGGCUGCCUGGCAGAAUUAUUGAUUCGCCCUAGGGAGAUAAUAUCUUUUCUGGAAUUUAUCAACAACUAUAAAUUCUGUGAGCGUUGCGUUGAAGAGGUUCUCAUUGUCUGGAAGGAUCGUGACAGGUCAGGCGAUAUGAAAGGCGUAGGCCAAUGUGUAAAGUUCGAUCUAAUAAAUAAUACAAAGUGCACAUUUUGGAUUUUCGGAUGGCGGUAGAAAUUGGGGAUACGCUACUUCAGUGUAGGGGAAGGUGGGUCUGGUUGUAACAUAGGUAUAAUUGUAACAGAGUAAUUAUCUUUUUAAAAAAGACCGCUCAGAACUUCUAGACACUGUUACGAAAUGGCAUUAUACAAUAAUCAUACAUCAGCAAGACAGUAAUUGCGUACGUAGUGUAUCCACCGAAAUAGGAAUGACAAAAUUAUUUUCUAGAUAAGUUAGUCAUUCUCUCCUUUUGGAAUUAAUAUCUUAUAGAUCUCAAACUAUUAUCGAC